UACGUAGGGUGCAAGCGUUGUCCGGAAUUAUUGGGCGUAAAGCGUCCGCAGGUGGCAGUUCAAGUCUGCUGUCAAAGACCGGGGCUUAACUUCGGAAAGGCAGUGGAAACUGAACAGCUAGAGUAUGGUAGGGGCAGAGGGAAUUCCUGGUGUAAGCGGUGAAAUGCGUAGAGAAUCAGGAAAGAACAUCGGUGGCGAAGGCGCUCUGCUGGACCAUAACUGACGCUGAGUGAGCGAAAAGCCAGGGGAGCAAACGGGU
rnacentral:rRNA from 1 species